GUGGUCUGCUUGUAUACCCUGACCCUAUGUAUACGAAUGCAUGCGUUGAACAUGAGUGAAUCAGUUUCUGUUUUGUUAUUUUAAAAUAGCUUUUUGUUGUUGCUUUGUUGCUUAGAACAUGGAUAUGUAUGUAACGCAGUGAGACGGACAGUCAGAGAGACAUUUGGAUAGCGGGCAGUCAAGACAUUUGGAGAGAUGGACAGUCAGUGAAACAGUUGGAGAGACGAUGAGAACGAGGGAGAGGGAAAUCUUCCAAGGCACCGGGAACAGCUGUGUGAGGCCGAAGUAACCGCAUAUUACCAGUCGUCCCCUGUGAAUCGGUGACCACAUAUGAAGAUGCACCUCGACUCAUUGACGGCUUAGCCACUGCAUCAAAGUCUUCCCUGGACAGCCUGGUACAGGCCAAAUCAGACCAAUACAGUGACACUCCUCAAAGAGUUAUCUCCCCUUGACCAGUGUCAACAUAUAACCAAGUGACUUUCGUGAAGUGCAAAAUGUUAGUAUUCAUGUUGGAGCAAUAAAAUUUAUAAACCGAAAAA